UCAAACUUGGUCAUUUAGAGGAAGUAAAAGUCGUAACAAGGUUUCCGUAGGUGAACCUGCGGAAGGAUCAUUAAUGAAUAAACCUGGUCAAGCUGUUGCUGGUCUCUCGAGACAUGUGCACGUUUGCCACUUUUAUCAACCACCUGUGCACCUUAUGUAGACUGGGGACAAACUUAUCGAGGCAACUCGGAUUAAGGACUGUUGUGCGAAAGCCAACUGUUCUUGAGUCUUCCAGUCUAUGUUCUUACUAUACCCCAAAAUGUAUGUAUAAGAAUGUAUAGACAGGCCUUAGUGCCUCUAAAACUAAAAACAACUUUCAACAACGGAUCUCUUGGCUCUCGCAUCGAUGAAGAACGCAGC
rnacentral:misc_RNA from 1 species